rnacentral:lncRNA from 1 species
GCCCUGUGGGUCAGCCCUAGUCUCCGCCACUGGGACCUCAAGCUGGCCAAGGCCAUGGCCAGGCCCUGGCUCCUAGGAGGGGUGAAACUGAUGGCUGGACAUGUACGUGGACGACAGCCUCCAGGGAGGGCUGUUCAACCCCCAGCACUGGUAUCAUUCUCUGCCCCCUGGAGCUCCUGGGAAGAUCCGUUAAGCAAGUGGUGGGGCUUCCACGGUUAAACACGGGUGACCACACAGCCCAGAAACUCCCUUCCAGGGACUACCUGAGAGAUUGAAGGCAGGCCCCACAGAGACGCGCCCAGCUCCUGCUCCUCAAACUGCUCCGUUAAACACGGGGUGACCACACAGCCCCGAGAGAAUGAAGGCAGGCCCCACAGAGACACGCCUA